rnacentral:rRNA from 1 species
UACGUAGGGUGCGAGCGUUGUCCGGAAUUAUUGGGCGUAAAGGGCUCGUAGGCGGUUUGUCGCGUCGGGUGUGAAAUCCACUGGCUUAACUGUGGGCGUGCGGUCGAUACGGGCAUCACUGGAGUUCGGCAGGGGAGACUGGAAUUCCUGGUGUAGCGGUGAAAUGCGCAGAUAUCAGGAGGAACACCGGUGGCGAAGGCGGGUCUCUGGGCCGAUACUGACGCUGAGGAGCGAAAGCGUGGGGAGCAAACAGG